rnacentral:rRNA from 1 species
AACGCGAAGAACCUUACCUGGGCUCGAACGGCUUCGGACCAUCCUUGGAAACAGGGACUUCCCGCAAGGGACUGGAGUCGAGGUGCUGCAUGGCUGUCGUCAGCUCGUGUCGUGAGAUGUUGGGUUAAGUCCCGCAACGAGCGCAACCCUUGUCCUGUGUUGGCAUGCCGCAAGGCGCAACUCUCAGGAGACCGCCAGCGAUAAGUUGGAGGAAGGUGGGGAUGACGUCAAGUCAUCAUGGCCUUUAUGUCCAGGGCCACACACGUGCUACAAUGGGCGGUACAAAGCGCUGCCAACCCGCGAGGGGGAGCUAAUCGCCAAAAACCGUCCUCAGUUCGGAUUGCAGGCUGCAACUCGCCUGCAUGAAGCUGGAAUCGCUAGUAAUGCUAUAUCAGAACGAUAGCGUGAAUACGUUCCCGGGCCUUGUA